rfam:Enterococcus phage phiFL4A, complete genome.
UAUAUUUUUUUGUUUAGCAGCUUACUUCGUUGACAGACGAGGUAGGCUCUUUUUG